CCUACGGGUGACAGCAGUGGGGAAUAUUGUACAAUGGGGGAAACCCUGAUGCAGCGACGCCGCGUGAGUGAAGAAGUAAUUCGUUAUGUAAAGCUCUAUCAGCAGGGAAGAAAAUGACGGUACCUGAGUAAGAAGCCCCGGCUAACUACGUGCCAGCAGCCGCGGUAAUACGUAGGGGGCAAGCGUUAUCCGGAUUUACUGGGUGGAAAGGGAGCGUAGACGGCAGUGCAAGUCUGGAGUGAAAGGCGGGGGCUCAACCCCCGGCCUGCUCUGGAAACUGUACGGCGGGAGUGCAGGAGAGGUAAGUGGAAUUCCUAGUGUAGCGGUGAAAUGCGUAGAUAUUAGGAGGAACACCAGUGGCGAAGGCGGCUUACUGGACUGUAACUGACGUUGAGGCUCGAAAGCGUGGGGAGCAAACAGGAUUAGAUACCCUGGUAGUC
rnacentral:rRNA from 1 species